GGGGAACAGAACCAGAGCGAGAUGGCCGGUAGGCUACUUGGGAAACUCCUCAUCAUGGGCGGCAGGGCCAUGGUACAGCCGUAUAGGCCUAUGCCAAGCCAUCAUGAUUUCUAGGAGCACGGAGCAGAGGAGCGGAGGCCUGGGACGCAGCACGGGGCAGAGGAGCGAUAGUGCGGCGGUUGCACAGGUGGAAUGUUCGUGAGGACAAAGCGGUAUGAAGAAGUAACUCUACGAGAGAACAUCAUGGAUAUAGAGAUGGAGCACCCAUGCUUUUCAUGGAUUUUGAUGAACAGCAUGUCAAUGUCAACCUAGAUGAUGAUGACUUCUUCUGUACCGAGCAUCGUCAUCAAGGUAUUUUUUUCCUGCACACCAAAAUUAAAAUAUGUAGUGAUGGAUGAAAAUGGAACCUAAGUUAAAAUGUUAUAGCUUGAAAAACACUUGUACGCACAAAUAGUUUCUACUGGCGACCUCCAUAAGUGAAGCACAAACCUUGGUUAAUACGAGCUGACGGAAACCAAUAGCUGGGAUUUGUUGGAACCAGAAACUUCAACUUGUAAUGUACUUUCACCAUCAACUGCUAAGCCAUUGAUUUUUUAGUAUUUAUGCCCGAGCAUUAGUUUUGUGUAGAUUAUAUCGUUAGGUAUAAUUUUGCUUACAAACAUGCUCUGAACUGAGAUGUGUCCAUCUGCCUGCAGC